GUCCAUAAUGUGCAAUUUUCAUGGCGGAGAAGUGUCUCUGCGCAUGGAUUGCAUCCAACAGAGACAGGCGUUGAUGCUGUUUUGUAAUACGGAAACUAGUGAGUCCACGGCCUCGAGUCCAUAAGAAGCCAAAAUCAAGAGAUUUGGGGUAAGUUGGCGGCGCAAGAUUCAUCAGUCUUUUUGCUUCGCAGCCCCCUCUUGCAUCUCCACUUGACUGGAUACUCUAGCAGCUUCCGCUGAGUACGAAAGAGAUGAAGAGGUGAUGUCGCUAUGCUUCAGGAAACAAGAAAGCGUUUUGAUGAACGUAGAGUGGAGGAGUCACGGCAGAGUCCGGGCCCAUUUGUGCGGUGCUGUGCGAG
rnacentral:lncRNA from 1 species